AGCCAUGCAUGUCUAAGUUCACAACAAAAGUUGAAACUGCGAAGCGCUCAGUAAAUCAGUUAUAAUCUAUUCGAUCGUCGUGUCACAUCGGAUAACUGUGGCAAAUCUAGAGCUAAUACGUGCAAAAUCACUGCGAUGCAGUGGCAUUUAUUAGUAAAAACACCUCGGUGUAGCUGAAUCUAGAUAACUGUGCAUACCGUCGCGUAAUGUGACGGUAGUUCGAUCGAGUUUCUGCCCUAUCAUGUUGUUUGUAAGUUAAGGGCUUACAAAGCACGUAACGGGUAACGGGGAAUCAGGGUUCGAUUCCGGAGAGGGAGCCUGAGAAACGGCUACCACAUCCAAGGAAGGCAGCAGGCGCGCAAAUUACCCAAUCCUGACACAGGGAGGUAGUGACGAGAAAUAUCGAACCAAUGAAUUCAUUGGUACCGAAAUAUUUGUGAUUUAAAGAAUCUAACUAUAAUUGGAGGGCAAGUCUGGUGCCAGCAGCCGCGGUAAUUCCAGCUCCAAUAGUGUACAUCAAAAUUGUUGCACUUAAAACGCUCGUAGUUGGAUUGCAAACCCCUGGCUGUUGCCGGUCUAUGACGGGUGACUGCACGGGGGAAAAGUUGCAGGACUCCGGGCUGAACUUAACUGGUCAGCGCGGAUGCGCCUGCAGAGCGUGCCUUGAAUAAAGCAUAGUGCUCAAAACAGGCGUAAGCUCGAGUGUGCUAGCAUGGAACGAAUAAACGCCACAUAGUGGUUGGUUAAGAGGAACAUUAGAGGGUGUUAGUACUUGGCGGCGAGAGGUGAAAUUCUUAGACCCGCCAAAGACUCACUAUUGCGAAAGCAUUCACCAAGAGUGUUUUUCAUUAAUUCAAGAACGAAAGUUAAAGGUUCGAAGACGAUCAGAUACCGUCCUAGUUUUAACCGUAAACUAUGCUAACACGGGACAAGCCCGCACCAUUUGUUGGUUUAUCCCCCCGCGAAAGCUGUAGUUUUCGAGCUGUGGGGAUAGUAUAGUCACAAGGCUGGAAUUUAAACGAAAUUGACGGGAUGGCACCACCAGGAGUGGAGCCUGCGGCUUAAUUUGACUCAACACGGGGCAACUUACCAGGUCCAGACAUUGGAAGGAUUGACAGACUGACAGAUCUUUCAUGAUUCAAUGAUUGGUGGUGCAUGGCCGUUCUUAGUUGGUGGAGUGAUCUGUCAGGUUGAUUCCGGUAACGAACGAGAUUCCAUUCCCUAGUUUCCUUCUCCGCCGAUUCUACGAUGCGGGGUGAAUAGGGAGACUGCACUCGCAAGAGUGAGGAAGUGGAGCAAUAACAGGUCUGUGAUGCCCUUCGAUGUCCUGGGCUGCACGCGCGCUACAAUGAAAACGGCAAAAAGUUCCUGCUCUGAGAAGAGCGGGCAAUCUUGCAAUUGUUUUCGUGCUAUGGAUUGAGCCUGGUAAUUAUUGCUCAUGAAAGAGGAAUUCCUCGUAAACGCGAGUCACCAGCUUGUGUUGAAUACGUCUCUGCCAUUUGUACACACCGCCCGUCGCUACCACCGAUUUAGUUCAUUGGCAAGAUGUAAGGAUUUG
rnacentral:rRNA from 1 species